AUUGAACGCUGGCGGCAUGCCUUACACAUGCAAGUCGAACGGUAACAGGUUAAGCUGACGAGUGGCGAACGGGUGAGUAAUGUAUCGGAACGUGCCCAGUCGUGGGGGAUAACUGCUCGAAAGAGCAGCUAAUACCGCAUACGACCUGAGGGUGAAAGCGGGGGAUCGCAAGACCUCGCGCGAUUGGAGCGGCCGAUAUCAGAUUAGGUAGUUGGGGAGGUAAAGGCUCACCAAGCCGACGAUCUGUAGCUGGUCUGAGAGGACGACCAGCCACACUGAGACUGAGACACGGCCCAGACUCCUACGGGAGGCAGCAAUGGGGAAUUUUGGACAAUGGGCGCAAGCCUGAUCCAGCCAUGCCGCGUGCAUGAAGAAGGCCUUCGGGUUGUAAACCGCUUUUGUCAGGGAAGAAAAGGUUCUGGCUAAUACCUGGGACUCAUGACGGUACCUGAAGAAUAAGCACCGGCUAACUACGUG
rnacentral:rRNA from 1 species